UACCAACCCGAUGCAAACUGCGAAUACCGGAGAAUGUUAUCACGGGAGACACACGGCGGGUGCUAACGUCCGUCGUGAAGAGGGAAACAACCCAGACCGCCAGCUAAGGUCCCAAAGUCAUGGUUAAGUGGGAAACGAUGUGGGAAGGCCCAGACAGCCAGGAUGUUGGCUUAGAAGCAGCCAUCAUUUAAAGAAAGCGUAAUAGCUCACUGGUCGAGUCGGCCUGCGCGGAAGAUGUAACGGGGCUAAACCAUGCACCGAAGCUGCGGCAGCGACGCUUAUGCGUUGUUGGGUAGGGGAGCGUUCUGUAAGCCUGCGAAGGUGGCCUGUGAGGGUUGCUGGAGGUAUCAGAAGUGCGAAUGCUGACAUAAGUAACGAUAAAGCGGGUGAAAAGCCCGCUCGCCGGAAGACCAAGGGUUCCUGUCCAACGUUAAUCGGGGCAGGGUGAGUCGACCCCUAAGGCGAGGCCGAAAGGCGUAGUCGAUGGGAAACGGGUUAAUAUUCCCGUACUUGGUGUUACUGCGAAGGGGGGACGGAGAAGGCUAUGUUGGCCGGGCGACGGUUGUCCCGGUUUAAGCGUGUAGGUGUGUGUUCCAGGUAAAUCCGGUUCACUUUAACACUGAGGCGUGACGACGAGGCACUACGGUGCUGAAGCAACAAAUGCCCUGCUUCCAGGAAAAGCCUCUAAGCAUCAGGUAACAUCAAAUCGUACCCCAAACCGACACAGGUGGUCAGGUAGAGAAUACCAAGGCGCUUGAGAGAACUCGGGUGAAGGAACUAGGCAAAAUGGUGCCGUAACUUCGGGAGAAGGCACGCUGACACGUAGGUGAAGUGAUUUACUCAUGGAGCUGAAGUCAGUCGAAGAUACCAGCUGGCUGCAACUGUUUAUUAAAAACACAGCACUGUGCAAACACGAAAGUGGACGUAUACGGUGUGACGCCUGCCCGGUGCCGGAAGGUUAAUUGAUGGGGUCAGCGCAAGCGAAGCUCCUGAUCGAAGCCCCGGUAAACGGCGGCCGUAACUAUAACGGUCCUAAGGUAGCGAAAUUCCUUGUCGGGUAAGUUCCGACCUGCACGAAUGGCGUAAUGAUGGCCAGGCUGUCUCCACCCGAGACUCAGUGAAAUUGAACUCGCUGUGAAGAUGCAGUGUACCCGCGGCAAGACGGAAAGACCCCGUGAACCUUUACUAUAGCUUGACACUGAACAUUGAGCCUUGAUGUGUAG
rnacentral:rRNA from 1 species